AUUGAACGCUGGCGGCAGGCCUAACACAUGCAAGUCGAACGAGUGGCGGACGGGUGAGUAAUGUCUGGGAAACUGCCCGAAGGAGGGGGAUAAAUACGGGAAACGGGAGCGAAUACCGCAUACCAUCGGAUGUGCCCAGAUGGGAUUAGCUAGUAGGUGGGGGAACGGCUCACCUAGGCGACGAUCCCUAGCUGGUCUGAGAGGAUGACCAGCCACACUGGAACUGAGACACGGUCCAGACUCCUACGUGAGGCAGCAGUGGGGAAUAUUGCACAAUGGGCGAAAGCCUGAUGCAGCCAUGCCGCGUGUAUGAAGAAGGCCUUCGGGUUGUAAAGUACUUUCAGCGAGGAGGCGUUACUCGCAGAAGAAGCACCGGCUAACUCCGUGCCAGCAGCCGCGGUAAUAC
rnacentral:rRNA from 1 species